rnacentral:rRNA from 1 species
UACAGAGGUCUCAAGCGUUGUUCGGAUUCAUUGGGCGUAAAGGGUGUGUAGGUGGCGCCGUAAGUCGGGUGUGAAAUUUCGGAGCUUAACUCCGAAACUGCAUUCGAUACUGCGGUGCUUGAGGACUGGAGAGGAGACUGGAAUUCAUGGUGUAGCAGUGAAAUGCGUAGAGAUCAUGAGGAAGACCAGUGGCGAAGGCGGGUCUCUGGGCAGAUACUGACACUGAGGCGCGAAAGCCUGGGGAGCAAACAGG